GGGGCUUGGUUUAGAUGUAAAACAGUGAGGUUUUGGAGGCUGCUGUUUUUUAAGUGCAGAUUGUGCCGUGUGUGGAAUCUUCCAGUCAUAAACCAGAUUAUUUUAUGUUUAUAUGCUUGGAGUUUUUCUUUUUUUUUUUUUCCUUUGGAAGCUGUUUUGUUGAAAUAACUGCUGGCAAAUUUUCAGGCUGGCUUCCAUGUUGCUUUACCAGUUCCUGAACUCUCAAGCUUUGUAUUUUACAUAUUGCAGCAUUUCUAAGCUGGGAGGUUUGUUGUCAUGUGUGUCUUAGCGUGCACACAAUAGCUGAAGGUCUAAUUUUAAGUUAAUUUUGCCAAACGAAACAGAGUUAUAUUUAGUUUAAGCCGUGUGCCUUGCACCUCUCUGGGUUGUUAGAACGUUUUUUGGGGGGAAGGGUGGGAGCAGAAAUGAGAGAAACCGCAGAGGGCCUGAUCCUAACAGCCAGGCUUUGAUAUGUUGCAGAUGGACCAAAAGCUGCCUGCUUUUUGGAAGGCUGUUGGGCACUGGCCCCAUCGGUGAGCGCUGUAAAAACUCUUCCUUGUACAGGUUAACUCCCUGUUACACAGCUUCUCCUUUAAAAAGAAAUACUGCUUAUAUUGCAAUACAACACGAUCAUCGGGAUAGCCAGAACAGCUGCCGUUUUCAGGGAACUGGCCUGCUGUUGCGCUGCUUUGUGUUUGCGCUGAAGAACGGCCGUGCCUGAAGGUGCUCAGCUCUGGGCUGUGGCAGGUUGUUGCUGCUCCAAGUGCAAUGCCCUCCUGCUGGACUCGGUGCCAUCGGGCACAGCCCUGCCCCAGAAGAACACGGGACUGCCCCUUGCAGCGCAAUUGCUGAGAGAAUAAAAUCUCAGCUG